rnacentral:rRNA from 1 species
GACGAACGCUGGCGGCGUGCUUAACACAUGCAAGUCGAACGAAGUGGCGAACGGGUGAGUAACGCGUAAUCAACCUGCCCUUCCGAGGGGGACAACAGUGGGAAACGACUUCUAAUACCACAUACUGAAGGAGGGGAUUGCGUUGGAUUGGCUAGUUGGAGGGGUAACGGCCUACCAAGGCGAUGAUAAGUAGCCGGGCUGAGAGGGUGAACGGCCACAUUGGGACUGAGACACGGCCCAGACUCCUACGGGAGGCAGCAGUGGGGAAGCUGCCGCAAUGGACGAAAGUCUGACGGAGCAACGCCGCGUGAGUGAUGACGGUCUUCGGGUUGUAAAGCUCUGUUAAUAGGGAAGCGGUACCUGAAUAGAAAGCCACGGCUAACUACGUGCCAGCAGCCGCGGUAAUAC